rnacentral:hammerhead_ribozyme from 2 species
UUGCGAAACACUCCCGCCGUACCUGUCCCCACAGGUGGGAGUGUCAGUCCAGUGUGGUGACUGGGCUCUGAUGAGCAGCCAAAG